UAGUGAGAAAAAACAUAUUAUCAAAAAUUUUAAUUGGUAAUUUGCUUUAAUGAAUGGUAAAAUAAAUACGUUUCAGUUUUCUCUUUAUAAUGUAACAAAACAAUCGAUCCCCAAGUGUUCUAAUUUAAAUGAAAAAGAGAAAUGAGUCAUACGCUUUUUUCACAUAAACGAGUAAUUUCAGAGAAUCGCGUGUGCGCAGAAUAUUUCAAGAGGGUUUCUAGUAGCUCGGUCAAUGAAUAAACGUGUUAGUAACCCUGUGAACAGCAGGCCAAUGUUUAACAGAAACUAUUGAUUUUGCCAAUAUUCAAGACGAAUAUAUUCAAAAAACAAUCGAAUUUUUUUUUCAAAUAAGUAAAAGAUAUAAUAAAUAAGGAAUGAAUGAGAAAAUACUUUCACCAUCGUUUCAAAAAUUUUUCUUAUAGUGAUAAAUUAUCAUAAAUUAAUGUCUCCAUUUGUAGAUCGAGUUUUCGCAAGUACUUUGGUAAUAAGGUCGCGAUUUUAAAUACAGAGAGUCCCGCUUUCUCGUUAUAUACGGACAUAUAAGACCAAGUCUGAUGUUUUGGUCCAAUAUUAAUCCCAACGCCAAGCUGCCAUAGAAGGAAUUCUCCUCUUCAUGUUCGCGAAAACCUACGAUGAGAACAAGACAAGUCACCUUACCUCUUGUCACUGAUAUUAUUCGAGUUUAUAUUAUUAUAUACAAAAGGAGGAUGAAGGCGUGCCGGUGAAUAUCCACUCUACUUCUAUACUAUAUCUGAGUCAUCCUGUUUUAUUUUUUACUCUAUUCUAUUUUUUAUUCUCUUCCCAUCAGUUUCAUCAAUCAUCAUAUUUACAAGCAUUUUCAAAAUUAUUGUCCAUGAGAAUGACAUUUUUAUGGGUAUUUUUAUUCUCCUGGCUUCUCUAGUACUAAUACUGAAUGUAAAAACAUACGUUUUACCAAUAUAAAAUCAUUUACAGGUCAAAAAAUGGGUACAAAUAAGUUUAUUAGUAACGGAGGUAAAAAAGAAAUUUUCUCUAAAUGAAGAAUAAGUAAUUAUCUGGUGGUGAAGUUAGUAAGCAAGUAAUUAAUAAGUAAAAUCAAAAUAGUUCCAGUCAGACAUGUAUAUCAUGAUGCAUCAACUCCCAUAGAUGUCCAGCCUACACACAAGAAUUCAUUUACAUUAAAACUGAAAAAAAAUAAACGAUACCAUUUUAUAUGAAUGGAAUAAAAUGAGCAAUAAGUAGCUGCACGAAGUCGUGUUGCUGGAUGGUCAAGGGUCAUUUAACAAGUAAAAAAAAUAAUAAAUGUAUUUGAAAGCUUGUUGGAGGUGCGCCUGAACUCUCGUCUUGCUCAUCUCAACUGGACCCGCCGGUUUUCGAGCCAGGACAUACUUUAAAGCAGGACAUAACGACUGGAAAUCACUUGAAAAAGAAUAAGAAGAAAAUACAUCAGAUGAGAAGGGUUUACACAAAUCAUUUAAAAGCAUGGAUCGGAUAUAAAGCGAUUAAAGCGAAGUUUUGAAUGUUGUUCAAGACAAUCUUGCAUUUGUAUCAAGUAAAUUCUUAUGAUGAAGGCGUAGGCACACAUGUUAAAGGAUUGCCACGCAUGUCACCCACGCUAGAUAAGAGGAAGUCUCCUUUCACAUUGAUCGUGUAACUAGCUUGAUUCUUGAUCAACAGCAACGGUAAACUUGACACUGUUCCAUUCUGGAUCUUUUAUUUAUAAAUGAUGAUCUAGAUGAUUUUAUGGAUUAUAAAUGAAAUAAACCUUGAUA